rnacentral:rRNA from 1 species
GAUGAACGCUGGCGGCGUGUCUAAUACAUGCAAGUCGAGCGAACAGAUAAGGAGCUUGCUCCUUUGACGUUAGCGGCGGACGGGUGAGUAACACGUGGGUAACCUACCUAUAAGACUGGAAUAACUCCGGGAAACCGGGGCUAAUGCCGGAUAACAUGUUGAACCGCAUGGUUCUACAGUGAAAGGCGGCUUUGCUGUCACUUAUAGAUGGACCCGCGCCGUAUUAGCUAGUUGGUGAGGUAACGGCUCACCAAGGCAACGAUACGUAGCCGACCUGAGAGGGUGAUCGGCCACACUGGAACUGAGACACGGUCCAGACUCCUACGGGAGGCAGCAGUAGGGAAUCUUCCGCAAUGGGCGAAAGCCUGACGGAGCAACGCCGCGUGAGUGAUGAAGGUCUUCGGAUCGUAAAACUCUGUUAUUAGGGAAGAACAAAUGCGUAAGUAACUGUGCGCGUCUUGACGGUACCUAAUCAGAAAGCCACGGCUAACUACGUG